AGUAAUGUUGAUUCAUCUUCUGAAGAUAAUCAUAAAAGGCUGCGGAAAGAUGGCAGGCCUGCAGAUGAUUUUGAUGACAUGCAUCUUAGUAAGGGUGAUCUUCGGUACAAAAUCAUGCAAAAGAAAGGACUGAAGCAAAAU